GAUGAACGCUGACAGAAUGCUUAACACAUGCAAGUCAACUGUGGCGGACGGGUGAGUCACGCGUAAAGAACUUGCCUUACAGCUAGGGACAACAUUUGGCAACGAAUGCUAAUAACUGAUACUGUGGUAGAGCUGUGCGUCCCAUUAGCUAGUUGGAGAGGUAACGGCUCACAAAGGCGAUGAUGGGUCGCCGGACUGAGAGGGUGAUCGGACACAAGGGGACUGAGACACGGCCCUUACUCCUACGGGAGGCAGCAGUGGGGAAUAUUGGAAAAUGGACAAAAGUCUGAUCCAGCAAGUCUGUGUGCACGAUGAAGUUUUCGGAAUGUAAAGUGCUUUCAGUUGGGAAGCGGUACCAACAGAAGAAGUGACGGCUAAAUACGGGCCAGCAGCCGCGGUAAUUC
rnacentral:rRNA from 1 species